UGAGCAAUCUGCCCUUCUCUUCGGAAUAAGCGUUGGAAACGACGUCUAAUGCCGAAUACGACUCUUCCUC
rnacentral:rRNA from 1 species